CCAUUAUUUCCAUUAUAUCAUAUAAUUUAUUAUUAAAAAAUACACUUUUUUCUAGCUUUGACCGACAAAUUCUCUUAUGCAUCUACAACCGCCAAAAAACACCCAUGCUAAACAGUUUCUAAAUUUUGUCCUGAGUUUAGAAAUACCCAAUGUUAAAAUGUUCUUAGCUUUUUUUGCAAGUUAUAGGGCUAUAAGCACAAGUAGGACAUUGCUGUUUCAAAAUAUAUAUUUGUAAAAAUGUAGUGGCAUUGUAACACUGUUACAGCUGUCAUAAAUCUCUGAAUCACACCUCACAUGUACAUCUUUUUUAAAGUAGACAACUUAUGGUAUUCAAUAUGGGGUAUGUCCAGUCUUUUUUAGUAGCCACAAACACUGGCCAAAAUUAGCAUUUAUAUUUGUUUGUGUGUUAAAACGGCAAAAAAAACUAUUAUGAAUGCUAACUUUGGCCAGUGUUUGUGACUAAUUGGCUACUAAAAAGACUGAACAUACCCCAUUUGCAACACCUUGGGUUUCCUUCUUUUGCAAAUGGUAUGCCAUCGUGGGAGUAACUCUCAAUCCUGUGCUAUCAUAUGCUCUCAAAGGUAAUGUAACCAAUCUGGCAAAUUUCAACGUGAAAUAAAGGAAAUUCAAGCUUUAAAUUUGACCCUGUAACUUUCAAAAACAGUAUAAAACCUGUACAUGGGGGGUGCUAUUAUACUCGGGAGACUUUGCUGAACACAAAUAUUAGUGUUUUAAAACAGUAAAACGCAUCACAACAAUGAUAUCAUCAGUGAAAGUGCUGUUUUUGUGUGAAAAAUGCAAAAAACGUAACUUUCUUCGACAAUAUAAUCGCUGUAAUAUUUUUUACUG